rnacentral:rRNA from 1 species
AGCGAACGCUGGCGGCAGGCCUAACACAUGCAAGUCGAACGAACCUUUCGGGGUCAGCGGCGGACGGGUGAGUAACGCGUGGGAAUAUGCCCUUCUCUACGGAAUAGUCCUGGGAAACUGGGGGUAAUACCGUAUACGCCCUUUGGGGGAAAGAUUUAUCGGGGAAGGAUUAGCCCGCGUUGGAUUAGGUAGUUGGUGGGGUAAUGGCCUACCAAGCCGACGAUCCAUAGCUGGUUUGAGAGGAUGAUCAGCCACACUGGGACUGAGACACGGCCCAGACUCCUACGGGAGGCAGCAGUGGGGAAUCUUAGACAAUGGGGGCGACCCUGAUCUAGCCAUGCCGCGUGAGUGAUGAAGGCCUUAGGGUUGUAAAGCUCUUUCAGCUGGGAAGAUAAUGACGGUACCAGCAGAAGAAGCCCCGGCUAACUCCGUG